rnacentral:rRNA from 1 species
CCUACGGGUGGCAGCAGUAGGGAAUCUUUCACAAUGGGCGAAAGCCUGAUGGAGCCACGCCGCGUGCAGGAUGAAGGCCUUCGGGUUGUAAACUGCUUUUAUAAGCGGGAUAUAUGAUGGUAACUUAUGAAUAAGGCUCGGCUAACUACGUGCCAGCAGCCGCGCUCAUACGUAGGAUCCGAGCAUUAUCCGGAGUGACUGGGUGUAAAGAGUUGCGUAGGUGGCAUAAUAAGUAGCUAGUGAAAUCUGGUGGCUCAACCAUUCAGACUAUUAGCUAAACUGUUAAGCUCGAGACCGUUAGAGGUAACUGGAAUUUCUAGUGUAGGAGUGAAAUCCGUAGAUAUUAGAAGGAACACCAAUAGCGUAGGCAGGUUGCUGGGACGGUUCUGACACUAAGGCACGAAAGCGUAGGGAGCAAACGGGAUUAGAUACCCUAGUAGUC